GGGCAGCGCUGCUGGAGCUGCUGGCGGAGGGCUCCAUCUACUGCUGCGCAGAGAGAAUGCUAAGGGAGCAUCAGAAGGUUCUAGAUUCUUAGAUUCCCACGAGGACUUAACUGGUGAUCAGUCCGUGCUGGUGUCAGGAAGAGUUCGUGUUCACAUUGCUUAACUGUGAGAGCUCAUCUGAAGUCAUGGGAAUGGACGAUUUGGACUGGAGUUCAGCCUGGCACAGCAGAGAACAGUUCUGUCCCCAGUGCUUUCCAUCUUUCUUGGUGACACAUCCCCACAGCUCCCCGGUACGCCCACUGGCACCACAUCUGUGCUCCUUGGUCUGCCUUAAAAAUGUACUCAAUGGUGAUUUUUUUAUUUUUAUUUUUUUGACUGAGUUCUUCCUUACCACGAAACUGAAUCGCCCACUCCUC
rnacentral:lncRNA from 1 species